rnacentral:rRNA from 1 species
GACGAACGCUGGCGGCGUGCUUAACACAUGCAAGUCGAACGAAGAGCGACGGAAGCUUGCUUCUAUCAAUCUUAGUGGCGAACGGGUGAGUAACGCGUAAUCAACCUGCCCUUCAGAGGGGGACAACAGUUGGAAACGACUGCUAAUACCGCAUACGAUCUAACCUCGGCAUCGAGGAUAGAUGAAAGGUGGCCUCUACAUGUAAGCUAUCACUGAAGGAGGGGAUUGCGUCUGAUUAGCUAGUUGGAGGGGUAACGGCCCACCAAGGCGAUGAUCAGUAGCCGGUCUGAGAGGAUGAACGGCCACAUUGGGACUGAGACACGGCCCAGACUCCUACGGGAGGCAGCAGUGGGGAAUCUUCCGCAAUGGACGAAAGUCUGACGGAGCAACGCCGCGUGAGUGAUGACGGCCUUCGAGUUGUAAAGCUCUGUUAAUCGGGACGAAAGGCCUUCUUGCGAAUAGUGAGAAGGAUUGACGGUACCGGAAGAGAAAGCCACGGCUAACUACGUG